UACGUAGGGGGCAAGCGUUGUCCGGAAUCAUUGGGCGUAAAGCGCGUGUAGGCGGCCCGGUAAGUCCGCUGUGAAAGUCCAGGGCUCAACCCUGGAAUGCCGGUGGAUACUGUCGGGCUCGAGUCCGGAAGAGGCGAGUGGAAUUCCUGGUGUAGCGGUGAAAUGCGCAGAUAUCAGGAGGAACACCAAUGGCGAAGGCAGCUCACUGGGACGGUAUUGACGCUGAGACGCGAAAGCGUGGGGAGCAAACAGG
rnacentral:rRNA from 1 species